rnacentral:lncRNA from 1 species
CGGCUUAACUUCAAAAGUUUUCACUUCAGAUUGGCCUUAAUCGCCAAGAAACCCUAAAAUAAUCAAAAUAAAUCAAUUGAAGGUUUUACUUCCAGAAUCGAGUAAACACAAUGCACAUGAGGCUCGACUACUAGUCGUAUGCCUCGCCAAAAUAAUUACUAAUGCAAGGGUGGAAAACAUGAUUUUCUUGGAAACAAAAAGGUAACAUGAAGACUUAGGCGCAAACAACCCAAAAGCCUUUCAUUUCCACCAAAAGGCAAAUCUACUUAAAGGAACCAAACGGCCUAGAAAAUCGGGCAGCACCGUCCCUAAAAUUCUUACUUUUCCAGCCAUUAAGGCUUCAUUAUUUCCUCAAAUUAGCCCCAACAUUUCACACCAAAGGUCAUCUCAUUUCCCAAAAGCCGUACAGGGCUCAAAGUGGUACAAGUACAAAAGUUAGCUAGGAAACAACCAAAAUGAAAGCAAGCCCUAAGAGAGACUCGACGACGAGUCAUAAAACAAUGCUGAACACAACCCCAAUAGGGUCUCAUAUGCAUAAAUAAGCAUGGUAGCAAACCAGCAAUUAAUAUAUGACCUUAACUUAAGCCUUAAUAGAAAAACCGUGUUUGAUCUUAUAAUGCGGUAAUGGCGUCAAUUUCACUACGGUUAUCGGUUGGGGGUGUAAGACCCACCGAUUCGAAGCUAUGAAACAGGGCUACAACAAUGUAGAAGGGCACUCAAUCCAGUUCCUAGCUUAACUAGGUCGAAAGUGCCAAAUACUAUACCAGAAUUACCAAAACAGGUUUGCAAAACACAGAAAACUGUAAUUACUAUAACUCAGUCUAUACAAGUCCAAAUGCCGAAAUUCCAAAGGCAUAUGAUAGCUAAGACAUCCAGUAACAUUUCAUCAGAAGACACCAACUUCAAAAUCCAAACCAAAUCCAGUCAAAAUAGGCAAUUACUAUCGCAGUUCCGCACAUUCUGUUCACCAAAAACAGCAACAGUAAAAACGGUAUAACUCUCUCUAUACUACUCCAAAUUCCCUGAAAUUUUGCAGGCACUUCUUACUCACCAAUACCUACAACUUUCAUGUUUUGAGAAAAGUCCAAUUCGGCCUCUAGCUAUGACCUAAAAUUUCGGACAGAAUAGGGGAUUUAAGAACCCUAACUUUUCAAUUUUCACACCAAAUCCAAAAUUGAUUGCAUUUAACCACAAUUCACACUCACUAGAGUCAUUUCCAACCAUUACAAUCCAUCAUACAAGCACCCAACAUCAAGAUCAUAUUAAACCAGAAAAAUCAUCAAUAAAAUGAAAAACUUCACCAAAUCACUUCAAACCAAGAUAAAACCAGAAAUUUCAGCACUUCAAGCACUACUAAGCAUAAUUUAAGCUUCAUAGGGUGUAAGAGGGUGUUCAAGCUUCACUUACCAAGAAACAAGAGAGAUGAGGUUGUUGAACACCUUAAACCUUCAACCAAGCUUCAAUAAACAACUUACUAGCACUAGAAGGUAAGAUUGUAUGGAAUGGAAUUGGAUGUAACCAAUGUUUUUGGUUGAUUUGCAACAAGUAGAAGCUUGAAUGGUGAAGAAAGUUUCUUCCUUCCUUGCUCAAGGUGGCCGGCCAACAAGAGAAGAAAAAUGGUGAUUUUUUGUGCAUUUUUUUGAUAUAUAAUCCUUUGGUCAAAAAAGUCAAAAUUGGGAAUAGUAAUUCUUAAAAAAACUUCCAAUGAGGAGGUGACACUUGUCACCUCCAUAAAUGCAUUCUUAUCUUUCUUUCCUCUCUCACAUCAAUCACUUCACACAUUCUACUUAUCUAUUAACACCCGAUAAAUUUUAAACAGUAUCCGAAACUUAACCUUAUUGGCCGAAUUUUUCCGAACUUUUCGCACUAGUGGGUCCCACGUCCACUAUUUACUCUUAAUUUUCUAAAAAUUCUCCAAUGCUAGAAAAAUCAUCUUAAAACUAUAAUUGCUCAUAAAAUCCACUAAGAAAAUAUUUCUAAACCAGAAAAUGCAGAAAACAUGCAAUUAAAGGGAACUAAACCCUAAGAAAAUAAUUAGGGUUUUACGGGUUCUCACAAUUUAUCUAUUUAAGAAUUUUUGUAGUUGAAUUAAAUUCUGAAGUUUCUGCUCAAAUUAAUUGUAAGUCUAAAUAAUAGAGUAAAUUAGUAUCUAAUAAUUGUUUUAAUUGCUCCUCGUGGGAUCGACCCGAUACACAUCUUGUACUACAAUUGCGACCUGUAUACUUGCAGUCCAACGGGUGUAAAUUCGGAAUUAAACUUGCACUUAAAGUAAAAACCCGUCAGCGAUGUUGUUGAGGGGGAACUCCACGCAUACUGGCCUGCGUAAAAGGAACGAAAUAUAAGCAAGAAUUGGUAGCACAACAUUCACAUUUAUGUGUCUCGUGCUACAGUUGUGGUUAAACCCCAAUUAAGAGUUCACCUUGUGCCGACGAUGGUCAGCAUUCAUAAGUUUCCCUUUCAGGUUUAUAUGUUCCAUACCUUUUUAAACUUCCCGGCAUUUUCACGCCAACCCUGCGAACCUUUUUGAAUUCCGUUGAUGACAUCUGGGAGUUUUCGCGGGACAACACAGGGAUGAUUCCUGCUGGUAUUAUAGGUGUAGCAGGCCAGAGAGAUUUCAUGCACGCAGGUUUGCUCAUGCCGCGCAAGUUGACAAUGCCAUCUUUCAAGGGGGAAGUAACAUCUAGCGACUAGCCACCAUCCAAGUCUCGGAUACGAAAUGCGUUUAGGUGAUGACCCGAAUCCUGGACGUCGACCAUUUGAGGUUGGAAGCCUUCUCCAAAAGAUGAUAGUUGAAGGAUUAACGUCGUCUUUCCCUUGGUCAAGUUGGCAGCACGCUGUGCAUUAACCCUACUAUUGUCAAAACACUUUGCAGGAAGCAGGUGACCAUCUUUCUUGUGCCUUCGUCUGACCUCCAUAUCUUGGUCUCCGACCAAGGUUUCACAUCAUCGCGAAGUACACAACCUCUAAGCAUCUCCAAUGAUUAAGCCAUGGAAGUAAUGGUAUCGCGAUAGCGACCAGAUGUUGUUUCAUCUACAUAUUACUGCGCUCCAAUAGUUCUAACCUUGUUUUUCAGUUGCAACUUUAAGUGAUACAGUUGGUCCAACAUGUUCGCCAGCUACGCUUGUAUUGCCAAGUUCAAUGUCCUAAGUACACAUCAUCGUUGUAUUUUGUAACAAUAAUACAACAUAUAAGCAUAGAACAAGGGACAUAGUGCCAGAAGGUAACGAAUGAGAGUAAUAUAAGGCAAAUGUAUAUUUACGACGUCGGGUGUUCCAGCAGGGGCUGAAAGUUGACCAAAUAUAUGCAUCGACUUCAGUUUUGCCACAUGAAUCCCGACUUCUUCCUCUCAUCACCGGGCAACCCAAAGGGUCUGAGGGGAGAGACUGACGCCAACUCUCGGACCAGUAACUGACAAAUGUUCCAAGUACACAUCUGCAACAAAUGACAGUAAUGAGCAAAAAUGAGGGAAAAACAUUGUGCUGCAGUCUCAAACACUGUUUUGUUUGGAAUUUUGUUGUGGCAAACCAAUUCUACUCACCAUCAGAAGCCCUACACAACUAGAUACAGGUGAAAUAGCUAGGGAUCAGGCUUUCCUUAUCCCGGAAGCCAGCUUAUCCAGGAUGAAUGCGCUCCAAUUGUACCGAGACAGGUCAUUUUCGUGGGCAACAAAUGAUGCGACCUCCCGAUUGAAUCCAUUGGUUUCGCCUGGGCAGAGGAGGUUGUGCAUCAGGUAUAGAAUAAACUUUGUCCUGAACUCAGUGUCAAAGGUCUUCAAAUUGCGCAGACUCAGUUGAACUUCAUUAUAGUCAAUUUCACCCUCCCUGAAGGGGAUGUUCAGCAUCGCUUCGACGUCUGAGCUGAUAUUAGUGCUGAGGAGACUGUGUGCGACGACCUUUCCCUCUAUAGGGAGGUUGAAACACACUGUCACGUUGGUUACGGAUACCUGCACACGUUGUCCGUGGACUUGUAGGGUCCUUGACUCCCAAUCAAAAUUGGCAACAAGCCAAUACAAGAAUUCUGCAUCCAGGACGAAGGGCUUCAUGGACAGGAUACCCUCGAACCCAUUCGCAAUGACUACUUCUCUCUGCUCAGUGGUUAGAUAGUCAAUGGCUUCUUUAAUCGCCAUUAGGUUACUGGGACUUCUGUACUGCAAAGCAUGACACAUAGCAUAGAUUGCGCCUGGGCGUAUUUACACACUUUAAAGGGAAAAGUGUUGUAGCCUUGUAGGAGUGAAUGCACCUGCAACCAGGAUCCACCACAGCCAUCUCCAACCCUCGACUUUACUGUGACAUGCUGGUUGGUGCCAGUGUCAGGAGUGUAUGCUAGCUGCCCAGCUCAACAACUGUACAAUCUGCCUGUCCUAUCGCGUCUGCUGAUGGAUUUCUCAUGCUCCACCACAUGAGGUGUGUCCGUCAAUUUUGGAUCCUGUGCCAGAGACGGAUGGCCUGUUGAACAUCCAUCUCCUUCCAUCUUGUUCGCCUCAACGUAAUCAGAAUUUCCAACAGCAGAACUAGAGUAUAGAGAAAGAAAAAGAUGCCAGUCCACAUUGCACUCAUCUCCUUCCCUGCCAGGGAUAGAUUUACCAACUUACCAUUAGAAUUGUGAGCCAAAUGACCACAUCUAUUCGUCGCUGACACUCGCUAUUCAUAAUAAAUAGACAGAACAGGGGAGAUGGGUGUGGGACGGGUUGGUUAGGUGUUGCAAAUUGGUUGGUGAUGCAGGUUUCAACAAUCAUGAAGGAUUAUAGACUAACAUUUGACUAAUGAAAAACAUCAUACUAUAUAUACGGUUACAGCAUGUUCACAUUUUGUUUGAUUAGCCCAUUCUAACUGAUGUACGCCAAUCGGCGUGGGGAAAAGUAGGUCAUUCAUGUAACUUACCACCUAUCUUGGUCAAUUAACAAUGGGAUAAUUUCAGAUUGUUCCCUCAAAAUGGGCCACAGCUAUGGAACCUUGUUUGCCUUUUCCUAAAUUUGAAUACACUGUCCCCUUUUUUUUACUCCCAAUCACCUUAGUUGGACCACCAAAAGGGUGAGUCGAUACUGGUAAAUUAAGAUAAAUUUGUCAAUAAAUACAGCUACAAAUUCAACUCUUCAUCUUUAGCUAGCGGUAGUCGCUGAGACGUAUCCAACCAAAAGCAUGAUAUAAUGCAUUAAAAGUGACAAAAUUUUUGCAGCCCAAACUUUUCUCCCUUCAAAUAUUUGCCCCUACAAGGCUUUAAGGGGCUAGAUGCUUAAAUUUUGUCAAGCAUGGUAAAGUAAAGCGUCCAAAUGAUUGUCCUGCUAGAGACAGACAACGUCACUUUAUGCUUAGCUUGCCGUUGCCAUGGUUGUCCUCCCAACCCUUUUGAUUUGGAUCCCGAAUGAUAUGCAUAACGUGCCAAUUAAGUGUUUUAUGUGGCUUGCUCUGUUUCCCUCCAUUCACUGUGCAGAACUUCCCGCCAGUUCCUGUUCACCACUCCCUUCCUGCCAUACAACAAUUAUUUAUAGCUUUGGAUACCAGCCAAAUGUCUACUUAUUUUGCAAGGGUUUACGAAAGCCUAAAUUGGGAUUUUAAAUUAUAUUAACAUAAGCCGACAUGACCUGCACCUCGCCCUUACUUAGUACUUGUCUUCAGACUGUUACUCCAACUAGUUUGUCACAUUCGCUCGCAAUUCAACCAAUUUUUCCGAUUCAAGCCGAUGUCAACUAUAUAACUUUUAACUUAAAUAUAUGUAUGAGUCAAUGUGCACAAAAUAUGACAUCAAAUGAAAAAAUUUAAUACUUUAUGUGACAAAAGGUUUACUAGAUAUAAUGAAUGUUGAAUUUUAACGAGCAAACAACAGGCAUUUUUAUAGUGUAAUGACAUUAUAUCACAACUGUCAAGCUCAAUUGUAUCAAUACAAACAAAUACUAUGGAAAUCCAUUCCAAUAAUUUUCAAUAUUCGUAAAUCCUCCAACAUUCACUUCUUUGGGAGUAUCGUUUUUCAUUUAUGGUUUUCCAAAAUUACACAUUGCAGCAUAAACAACAUGGUGUGAAUUCAUCCUUCGCUGGAAGUAAGGAACAAUCAAAUACGAGUUGUGAAUAUCAUAACAGCCUGUUCCCUAGGAAAUAAGUCAGUGGGUAAACGACGAAGAUCGCAGCGCAUGACAUUUACAACCAAUCAACCCAUAUUAUGAAUCAUUGCUAAAGUUAUCAAUGGUUUGUGCUUCGACAUGUCGAACCGGCUGGUUCGGCUUGUUGUGCAAGAACUAUGACCCUUACCUAUGCAACUCCAUUCUACCAAAGGCCCUUAGAACCACUGUGCAAUAGUUACGUUUUUUCCAACAUACUACAUUUGAUCAAUGAAGAACGUGUUUCCUUAGUUGUUCCCCCUUCGAUAGUCAUUUUGAGAUUUGUAUUUGACAUCGUACGAUGCCACUCUCGUGAAAACGUUAAAUAUGGAUAUUACUUUUACUGAAAUUUUCAGUUUUAAUGUUGCAUAUGGAUAUUACCUUCAAAGUAUUUUAUAAGUCAUAAAAUAUUCAACAUAAUACAAUGUGAAUUUACAUUUAACAGUUAUGUUAAUUACUAUUAACCUCUACUAUCUCUUAACAUUUUCUCUUGUGCAGCACUUUUACCACUUCCAUAACUGUAUCUCCUUUUAUACAUAAUAUGACUCUCCCAACGUUUUAAAACCCAGACCAUUUUUUCAAUCCGAAAAAACACUAGGUCACGGGUUCAACCAUGCCAUUUUCAUUUUUUGACUUGUGACGUCUUAACUAAAUCAAAAAUUUAUUAUAUAUUGCUAAUAUUGCCAUUUCUGCAAUAUACAAGUACCCCAUUAUAAAAGUAUACCCACAUGCUCAUUAGCAUAGUCCUUUUGCAAAUCAAUUUAUAAUAAAAAUAAACUCAAACAAAAGCAACAAUACUAAUCAAAAUAUAAGAAAUGCAAACAUAUGAUGCAUAGCUCUAAUUAUACGAAUAUGUCAAACUUUACACCAACAAAAUAUGAUUUGUAAUUUAAGGAGUAAAACAAAGGAAUCAUAGAUUACGAAAUGUAUCAUACGCUUAUAGUUCUAGAUCAAAAUUUAACAUUACUUACGGAUAUUUAGAGAUUACUGAUGACAUGAUGAAGAAAGGGAGAUGGGCUAUUCGGAACAGAACAAAGUUAAGACAAAUUAGGUUACUAAUUAGAAAUACAACACACAAAGAAGAUUGGAGUCUUCAUCUUCACUUGAGUCGACUGUAAUUUCGACUAUCUAAUUAAUUUACUGGUUUUUUUUUUGACUUAUUAGGCUUUCUUUAUAUAUUUUUUUGACCACUUCAAUGAACCGCAUUGGUUUACAACAAACUGUUCUGGUUUUGAAGGUUUACCGAUUAACCGAUUCAGUCAAUUGCUUUUCACUGACUAUAGUCUUAGCCACACUCGGUUUCAAGCAUAACUCGGCUCGAACAGCCACUCGGCCUCCAUUUCAACCGAUUAGACGAUGCACUGCGUACUGGGUUUUAAAACCUUGGUUUAACCGAUUAAUUUUGUUUUUCACAUAAUUCGGCUGCCUUAUAUUCCCCUUUUUUAUUAUGGCAAAUUUCUACAUAUGUUAUGACAACGUUACUUUUUUCCUCCUUGUAAGGCCCAAAGACAACCUAAGAGAGGGGUGAUUUAGGUUGAUUAGAAAACUAAUCAAGUUAUGGGCACUUUUUGCUCAAUAUGAAAUUUAUCCUCUUUUCUAAGUGAUUACACAAUGAAUCAAUCAAUCAAUGAACAAAAUCACUUGAGAGAAGUAGAAGAGAUAAGCAAUUUAAGGAUCACAACAUAACAAUAAGUAAAUAAGAAGGGAAGAAUUGCAAACCAAUUGACUACCAAGCUCCUCUUGAACUUGUAGACGAAUUCAAACAAGCUUCUUCAAAUUGACGAAAUACAACCAAUCUUGUGUACAAAGGAAUGUUCACUUCUUCCUUGCCCCAAUCUCCACUUGGUCAAGCUAGGAAGUUUUACUAUCGCUCAGGACAACCCUCACAGAGCUACACUAUUGAAGUAUUCACUCACAAAUGAAAAGGUUACAACAAACUUCACACCACCAAGACUACAAAUCUUCCUUGAAGAGUAUUUUCUCACUAAAAUCACUCUAGAUCUUUUGUAUCUUCAGUGUGCAAAAGUUGUUUGAAGUUUCUGAUCAUACUCUAUUUAUACAAGACCAAGAAAGUGCUUCAUUAAUGUUUCUAAAGGAUAGAAAGUAGCUGAUCAGUCAACUAGCCAUUGGGGGUGUCAGACGUCCGGUAGUCUGGUUUCUUGCGUCCAAUAGCAGGUAGUGAGUUUAAGAGAUUUUCUUCAAUUCUAUCGGACAUCCGGCGCUUGGGUCUGAAAGCAGACAAUGAGUUAGAAAGAAUAUCUCAAUUCUAUCGGACGUCCGGUAUUGUCUUUGUGAGCGUCCGACAGCUUUCGUCGAGUUUGAAAGAUCCUAUCGGACGUCCGAUGCUUGCGUCCGAUCGAGAUCAGUGAGCUAGGGAGAAUAUCUUAUUUCCUUCGGACGUCCGGUGAUAGAGUUCUUUAUGCGUGCGAAGUUGCGCAAUAAUUAUCGGACGUCCGAUCCUGUCUUCACAAGCGUCCGAUAGCUUUCAGCAACCUUUGUUUCUUUCAAUUGCGUUUGAUCUUUGAAUCUGAUUUGCUUCAUAACUGAAAGUAUAUCUUGAAGAGAUAUUAGUAUUAUCCAUUUGUUUUGUAAACAUCAAAAGAUAGGGACUAAGAUCAACACUCCUUCCAUAUUAUCGCACUACUAUCUUCUGUUACAACCAAUAGAGCCUAUGAUAAUAUUCCUAAUCCAAUCAAAUUUACUCCAUCCAAUAUUCCACAUUUGUCCCUUACUUCUGUUGUUCUCAGGUGUGACUUAAUUUUCCCACCUGCUCCCUAGUUGAUUUAUUUUGUCCUACCUAUUGCUUGUAGUCUCCUGUUACCUCAUACCUCCAACCUCCAUUGCAUAAAUUCCUAUUAUUAUGAUGUACCCCCGUAUUUCAUUGUAUUUGCUCCCUCACUUCCUCCCCUGCCAUGUACUCAGGCACGAUUUUUAAAUGAUUUUCCUAAUUCGGUCUUGCAUACAAUUAUUCCAUGCGCGUGGGACUCUCCAUGUGCAUUUCGCCUCGCAUGGUCCACUUUGACGAUCUUCUGGGCACGUGUCGAACUGGAACCGCGUUCCUAUGGUAGGCACAGUCAAAGGGUGCCUACCAUAGACAAAUCCGCUUAAUUGGAUUUUUUUUUUGGGCCAAACAAGUCAAACUUGACUGACUUGACCCUCUUAAUAGUACUAAUCAACACCUUCCACUCACACAAAAAAAAAAAAAAAUUUGUAGUAACAAGUGAACGUGCAAUGCAUGUAUUUCUAUGCUAAUAUAUUUAGUAGGACAUUAGUAAAUUCUUACAUUUACUUAUAAUGUACAACUAUUUAUUACCGUCUACUACUAUUCAUCAAACUAAGAGAUUUUGCUACGUUCGAUCAAAACUAAGAGAACUUAUUUUUACAAUGAAACAUUAUUCAAGUUUGCCACUAACUGACAUCGUUCGUAACAUAAACACAGAUGAUAUAACCAGGUCGAAUUUGGGGUAAAAGCAGUUGUCACCAUUCCUAAACUAUAUAUAAACUUAUAAAGUUUGCACAAGUUGUAAUUCAUCACAAAUAACUUGUAAAACUUUGUGACAAAAAUAUUGAAAACCAGCGUUAUUCAUAACAAAAUGGACAUGUCAUUCUGUCAGAUUUACUGUUAUUAUCUAAAUAAUAUAUUCCAAAUUUUUAUUUUAAUUGUUGGCCAAAUCUUAACCUUCAAAAGUUAGGAGCAAAUGCUGCUACAACCAUCGCUACCCCUAUUCCAAUAUCCAAGUUCCAACCAGGUGUAUGGGUAAUUAAAUAAUUGUACUUUUUUUAAAUUUUUUAUUAUAACGAUAAUAUUUCUAUAAUCUAAUUUAUCCUAAUCUAUAGGGAGGGGAGACUAAAGAGGUUAUAUAUAAGGGAUUAGUAGGUAUAACAACCUGAUUAGACCAAAGGAGUGAUUUGACAUCUCCUUUAAAUUUUUUUUAAAGUAGGCGGGGUUUUGACCUGCAGCCCAAAGAGGGAUUUAGUCCUUUUUAGUGGCCACUGAGCUAAAUAAUUGUAUCUGUUGCAGAACAAUUUAAAGGCUGAGUUAGAAGGAAAAGUAGCCAUAUUCUCACUCUUCUUGGAUUUGGAAAUGUGGCACAAUGGAUGUGAAGAGAAGAUUUUAGAUACUUCUAUUGUAAAGAGAAAUGUAAUGGGACAAUUAAUAAAGUUAAACACUAGUUAGUUGGCUUUCAUAAAGGAAUUAACCUUGUCCACUUGUUCCUAAAAUUUUUCCCUUAUUUAUUGAAUUAUAUGUACUUUUAAUCACAUUUUAUUGCACCUUUUCUCUUCUUAAACAUUAAAAAUACAAAUCACAGGAUGUAGCCUUUAAAAUUUUUGUUUCGUCUCUUCAAACACAAUACAUCUUGCCUGAAUUUCUCUGCCUUUUAAAACACUGACUGAAUUGCUCAGCUAUGACAUUUGAUCGUUAUGAAAAUAAAUUUUGCCAAAGAAGAAGUCCUGCUGCAAUUGUAUCUUACUAUUCGUGCUAACAUCUUGAUGGAACGAAUUGAUCAGGCAUAUGAAGGUUAACAAAGGAGUUUGUUCUUUACCUACAAAAAAAAAAAAAGAAAAAAAGAAAAAACUUAUUUUGUUCUUGAGUGAGUUUAUUCCUGUACACUGGGGUCAUUUAUGCAACUUUGUUUAAUGUUUCAAUGAAAUUAACGAUUAACUUAUGGUAGCUAGGAACAUGAAACCACUAUUAAAAUAAAAUCAAAGGCUUGUUUCAAAAAGAGCCCGGUAUACUGAAGUCUUGAACCUCUCAAGCCUUGAGCAACCAUUGUGAUAUGGAAUGGUUCUAAUCCUAUUCACUUGUGCUAGUUGCCCAAAUUGUAAAGUGAAUUAUUGAGCCUUUGCUGAAUUGUGUGCACUUUCGAAAUAUAUUUAAUGAAAAUUAUUGUUUCGACAAAAAAAAAAAGAAAAAUAGAAUUCUUGAGCCUCUCAUAUGACAUACCAGGUAUCAAAAUGUGUCACCACUCACCACACAUGUAUAUCAGUGCAUUAGGUUGAUUAUCAAGAGAUUAUCGUCCAAGUUCUCUAGUUUUCUUUGACCUUCAUAUUGACAAAACUUAAACUCUAAUAUCAAAUCAAAACCAGAACAGUUUGUUGUAAACCAAUGCGGUUCAUUGAAGUGGUCAAAAAAAUAUAUAAAGAAAGCCUAAUAAGUCCAAAAAAAACCAGUAAAUUAAUUAGAUAGCCGAAACUACAGUCGACUCAAGUGAAGAUGAAGACUCCAAUCUUCUCUGUGUGUUGUAUUUCUAAUUAGUAACCUAAUUUGUCUUAAAUUUGUUCUGUUCCGAAUAGCCCCUCUCCCGUUCUUCAUCAUGUCAUCAGUAAUCUCUAAAUAUCCAUAAGUAAUGUUACAUUUUGAUCUAGAACUAUAAGCGUAUGAUACAUUUCGUAAUCUAUGAUUCCUUUGUUUUACUCCUUAAAUUACAAAUCAUAUUUUGUUGGUGUAAAGUUUGACAUAUUCGUAUAAUUAGAACUAUGCAUCAUAUGUUUGCAUUUCUUAUAUUUUGAUUAGUAUUGUUGCUUUUGUUUGAGUGUAUUUUUAUUAUAAAUUGAUUUGCAAAAGGACUAUGCUAAUGAGCAUGUGGGUAUACCUUUAUAGUGGGGUACUUGUAUAUUGCAGAAAUGGCAAUAUUAGCAAUGUAUAAUAAAUUUUUGAUUUAGUUAAGACGUCACAAGUCAAAAAAUGAAAAUGGCAUGGUUGAACCCGUGACCUAGUGUUUUUUUGGAUUGAAAAAAUGGUCUAGGUUUUAAAACGUUGGGAGAGUCAUAUUAUGCAUAAAAGGAGAUACGGUUAUGGAAGUGGUAAAAGUGCUGCACAAGAGAAAAUGUUAAGAGAUAGUAGAGGUUAAAGUAAUUAACAUGACUGUUAAAUGUAAAUUCACAUUGUAUUAUGUUGAAUAUUUUAUGACGUAUAAAAUACUUUGAAGGUAAUAUCCAUAUGCAACAUUAAAACUGACAAUUUCAGUAAAAGUAAUAUCCAUAUUUAACGUUUUCACGAGAGUGGCAUCGUACGAUGUCAAAUACAAAUCUCAAAAUGACUAUCGAAGGGGGAACAACUAAGGAAACACGUUCUUCAUUGAUCAAAUGUAGUAUGUUGAAAAAAAUGUAACUAUUGCACAAUGGCUCUAAGGGCCUUUGGUAGAAUGGAGUUGCACAGGUAAGGGUCAUAGUUCUUGCACAACAAGCCGAACCAGCCGGUUAGACAUGUCGAAUCACAAACCGUUGAUAACUUUAGCAAUGAUUCAUAAUAUGGGUUGAUUGGUUGUAAAUGUCAUGCGCUGCGAUCUUCGUCGUUUACCCACUGACUUAUUCCCUAGGGAACAGGCUGUUAUGAUAUUCACAACUCGUAUUUGAUUGUUCCUUACUUCCAGCGAAGGAUGAAUUCACACCAUGUUGUUUAUGCUGCAAUGUGUAAUUUUGGAAAACCAUAAAUGAAAAAUGAUAUUCCCAAAGAAGUGAAUGUUGGAGGAUUUACGAAUAUUGAAAAUUAUUGGAAUGGAUUUCCAUAGUAUUUGUUUGUAUUGAUACAAUUGAGCUUGACAGUUCUUAUAUAAUGUCAUUACACUAUAAAAAUUUUGGGCUGCAAAUAUUUGAAGGGAGAAAAGUUUGGGCUGCAAAAAUUUUGUCACUUUUAAUGCAUUAUAUCAUGCUUUUUGGUUGGAUACGUCUUAGCGAUUACCGUUGGCUAAAAAUGAAGAGUUGAAUUUGUAGCUGUAUUUAUUGACAAAUUUAUCUUAAUUUACUAGUAUCGACUCACCCGUUUGGUGGUCCAACCUAGGUGAUUAGGAGUAAAAAAACGGGGACAGUGUAUUCAAAUUUAGGAAAAGGCAAACAAGGUUCCAUAGCUGUGGCCCAUUUUGAGGGAACAAUCUAAAGUUAUCCCAUUGUUAAUUGACCAAGAUACGUAGUAAGUUACACGAAUGACCUACUUUUCCCCACGCCGAUUGGCAUACAUCAGUUAGGAUGGGCUAAUCAAAAAAAUGUGAACAUGUUGUAACCGUAUAUAUAGAAUGAUGUUUUUCAUUAGUCAAAUGUUAGUCUAUAAUCCUUCAUGAUUGUUGAAACCUGUAUCACCAACCAAUAUGCAACACCUAACCAACCCGUCCCACACCCAUCUCCCCUGUUCUGUCUAUUUAUUAUGAAUAGCGAGUGUCAGUGACGAAUAGAUGUGGUCAUUUGGCUCGCAAUUCUAAUGGUAAGUUGGUAAAUCUAUCCCUUGCAGGGAAGGAGAUGAGUGCAAUGUGGACUGGCAUCUUUUUCUUUCUCUAUACUCUAGUUCUGCUGUUGGAAAUUCUGAUUACGUUGAGGUGAACAAGAUGGAAGGGGACGGAUGUUCAACAGGCCAUCCGUCUCUGGCACAAGAUCCAAAAAUGACGGACACACCUCAUGUGGUGGAGCAUGAGAAAUCCGUUAGCAGACACGAUAGGGCAGCAGAUUGUACAGUUGUUGGGCUGGGCAGCUAGCAUACACUCCUGACACUGGCACCAACCAGCAUGUCACAGUAAAGUCGAGGGUUGGAGACGGCUGUGGUGGAUCCCGGUCGCAGGUGCGUUCACUCCUACAAGGCUACAACACUUUUCCCUUUAAAGUGCGUAAAUACGCCCAGGCGCAAUCUAUGCUAUGUGUCAUGCUAUGCAGUACAAAAGUCCCACUAACAUGAUGGCGGUUAAAGAAGCCAUUGACUAUCUAACCACUGAGCAGAGAGAAGUAAUCAUUGCGAAUGGGUUCGAGGGUAUCCUGUCCAUGAAGCCUUUCGUCCUAGAUGCAGAAUUUUUGUAUUGGCUUGUUGCCAAUUUUGAUUGGGAGUCAAGGACCCUACAAGUCCACGGGCAACGUGUGCAGGUAUCUGUAACCAAUGUGACAGUGUGUUUCGGCCUCCCUAUGGAGGGAAAGGUCGUCGCACAUAGUCUCCUCAGCACUGAUAUCAGCUCGGACGUCGAAGCGACGCUGAACAUCCCCUUCAGGGAUGGUGAAAUUGACUAUAAUGAAGUUCAGCUGAGUCUGUGCAAUUUGAAGACCUUUGACACUGAGUUCAGGACAAAGUUUAUUCUAUACCUGAUGCACAACCUCCUCCGCCCAGGCGAAACCAAUGGAUUCAAUCGGGAGGUCGCAUCAUUUGUUGCCCACGAAAAUGACCUGUCUCGGUACAAUUGGAGUGCAUUCAUCCUGGAUAAGCUGGCUUCCGGGAUAAGGAAAGCCUGAUCCCUAGCUAUUUCACCUGUAUCUUGUUGUGUAGGGCUUCUGAUGGUGAGUAGAAAUGGUUUGCCACAACAAAAUUCCAAACAAAACAGUGUUUGAGACUGCAGCACAAUGUUUUUCCCUCAUUUUUGCUCAUUACUGUCAUUUGUUACAGAUUGUGUACUUGGAGCAUUUGUCAGUUACUGGUCCGAGAGUUGGCGUCAGUCUCUCCCCUCAGACCCUUUGGGUUGCCUGGUGACGAGAGGAAGAAGUCGGGAUUCAUGUGGCAAAAUUAAAGUCGAUGCAUAUAUUUGGUCAACUUUCAGCCCCUGUUGGAACACCUGACGUCGUAAAUAUACAUUUGCCUUAUAUUACUCUCAUUUGUUACCUUCUGGCACUAUGUCCCUUGUUCUAUGCUUAUAUGUUGUAUUAUUGUUACAAAAUACUACGAUGAUGUGUACUUAGGACACUGAACUUGGCAAUACAAGCGUAGCUGGCGAACAUGUUGGAACAACUGUAUCACUUAAAGUUGUAGCUGAAAAACAAGGUUAGAACUAUUGGAGCGCAGUAAUGUGGAGAUGAAACAACAUCUGGUCGCUAUCACGAUACCAUUACUUCCAUGGCUCAAUCAUUGGAGAUGCUUAGAGGUUGUGUACUUUGCGAUGGAUAUGAAACCUCAGUCGGAGACUAAGAUCUGGAGGUCAGACGAAGGCAUAGGGAAGAUGGUCACCUGCUUCCUGCAAAGUGUUUUGACAACAGUAGGGUUAAUGCACAGCGUGCUGCCAACUUGACCAAGGCAAAGACGACGUCAAUCCUUCAACUAUCAUCUUUUGGAGAAGGCUUCCAACCUCAAAUGGUCGACGUCCAGGAUUCGGGUCAUCGCCUAAAUGCAUUUCGUAUCUGAGACUCGGAUAGUGGCUAGUCGCUGGAUGUUACUUCCCCCUUGAAAGAUGGCAUUGUCAACUUGCGCGGCAUGAGCAAACCUGCGUGCAUGAAAUCUCUCUAGCCUACUACACCUAUAAUACCAGCAGGAAUCAUCCCUGUGUUGUCCCGCGAAAACUGCCAGAUGUCAUCAACGGAAUUCAAAAAGGAUCUCAGGGUUGGUGUGAAAAAGCCUCAAAGUUUAAAAAGGUAUGGAACAUAUAACCUGAAAGGGAAACUUAUGAAUGCUGACCGUCGCUGGCACAAGGUGAACUCUUAAUUGGGGUUUAACUACAACUGUAGCUCGAGACACAUAAAUGUGAAUGCUGUGCUACCAAUUCUUGCUUAUAUUUCGUUCCUUUUACACAGGCCAGUAUGCGUGGAGUUCCCCCUCAACAACAGCGCCAUUCUCCCCAAAUUUUCACCUUGGUAAAACCUGUAGUACAUCCGAUUUUUACAACUUGCAUCGCCUUAACCAUUUGUGAUUUUCGUAAUAUGUGUCCAUAACUUUGUGUCAUCGUUAAGACUCCCUUCUAAUCUUUCAAAUAUGUUGUCAGGCAUACGCAGGAGUUAAUAUUGAGUUAUUACCUAUGCAUACAUUUGCACUUGUUGUUGACUUCGUAUUUGGUCCACAGCAACUGUAGAGGUAUCGCACUGCUCCCAAAAAUUGUUCACUAGACAAAUCAACCUCAGACCGUAUAUUUGGAUCCAUUCUCUAUUGGCUCAUUUACCCUAUCAUGAAUGAGAAUACCCUAUGAAAAGGUCCAUCGGGCUUGUCUGGCUUCUUAAGCUUUUAUGAUUGUUUUUUUUUUUUUGCAGUGAAUCACUUGUCCUAAUGAUGGGUCAAAUCGCUUGUUGGGAAAAUCUUAUGACGUUGUCUCAUACUACUUGGAUAAUCUUAGAGGUAUUUGUGACGACCCCACCUCCUCUUAGGGCAUACCCUAGGAGUUAGCGGAUCGCCUGCCUGGCUCUCGCCAGGACUCAUUCACUAAUAUUAACUUCAGAGAUAACAUUUUGAUAAACCAAAACCAAACGUUCAAAUCUUUUACAAUACCAAGUCCAAUACAAAAGGUUCAACCAUAAUAUGAUACUAAAGGAUUUACAAUCACAAAAGUCCCUAAGAUCCCUCGUUCAUUCCCCUAUCACCAACUCCUGUAAGGGAAACAAAACUAAAGGUUGAGCUAAACCUCAAUGAGGUUUGCCAAGCAAGUAACAUUUAAUAAACACUUAAAUCAGUACAAUUAAACAAGUAAUGUACAUUUCAUUGUACAAUCACUUUCAAAAGGAUACGGUAUUGAUACGGACUCUAGAGGUGGCUCUCGUCCGUUCCAGACGUAGCACUUAGUUCCGUUCAGUAAUUCAGUGUCAUUUCAAUAUCAUUGCACACUCAUUUCAGUGUCAUUGUACAUUUAUUUCAAUAUCAUUAUACACUUUGCCGAUUCACCUCCUUAUGUCCUCCAAAACAAUAAACAAUCUCAUACAUUCAGUAAUCAGUUCAACAAUCUCCCAACUUCAGGGUAAUACUCGAGUAUACCGAAACAUUUACCCAAAACUUCUGUCCUAUCCGACCAAGCCCUUUUGCUGGCUCAAAUAGUCCAUUGAACAAAGGGUUUUGGGGCCCAGUUCAGCCGAUGUGGUAAAGUAUACAUACGACAUACAUUCAUGCACACUUACAGUAACAUUUAGUCAAUUAUCAACCUUCAAACUCAACUAAACCAAAUGCGAUAAAGUACACCCCCGACUUAGAAGGCAAGAGACAAUUGAAAUACACUUUAUCACAUAAUUUCACUUAAGUAAACAUAAACAGUUAAACACACAAACUCAGAAACACUCACCAAAUAUUCAAAUAAAUUAUUCCCGAGUUUCAGGUUUGUUUCCUGGCUCACAGCUACUUGCUGAGACAAGUUCAUAAUUCCAAAGUAAAUAUAUAAUUUGUCGAUGUUCACUUAUUAUUUAUUAUCCUAUUAUUAAAAUUAUUAAAAUCAAGUUUGACUUUAAAAUAUAAAAUAUAAUAUAUGCAAUAGUUAUUCUACUUUUUUUACUUCGAAACUUAUUGAGUUUAUCAUUUUAAACCAAGAAAUAUACGUAUUUUCCAAGUUUAUAAUUUAUAAAUAUUUGAAUUAGGAUUAAACUAUUUUCUACUCAACAUUUUAAAGUUACGACAAACAGACUUUCAAUUCCUUCCUUUUAAGUUAGAUCAAGUGCUAGAUUACCUGUAGUUUAAGUCUCGUGAAAUUUACUAGCUUUCUAGUUUUAAGUUCCUUAAAAUACUCAUAAAAAUAGUUCCAAGUUGCUAUAAGAUGUUCGACAUUAAUUUUCAACCAAUUAACCUAAAUUUCCCAAAAUUUCAUGGGAGUUUCAUUUCUUUCCUCAUUCGGUCAGUAAAAACAGGACUUCAGCUCAAAUGUUUCUAAAUCUUUGACAAUCUUCACUUUUAAUUGUUUAAACUUCAAUUUGCUUAGUAUGCAUUUCAUCCAAGGUGAAAAGCUCAUAAUUUAAACAUGUUGAUCGACUAUCAUUAUCCACAAAAUUUGUCAUUUAUUAUCGCAACAAUUGACUAAGUUUUCAUUAAAUCUUUCCUUUCUAUCUUAUGUUCCAAUUAGACAAGUUAAUUACCUUGAUUAAGCUAGCUUUGUACAGUACGUGGGAAAACUGCACUAAACUCAAAGGAAAGAUUAAUCAAAAUCCUUCCUCCCUCGGUCAGGAUGUACUACAGCAUACAAAUUCACAGUUUCCUCUCCAUUUGAUUUAGUUUAACCUUACUCAUGAUGCAAAACGUAGCUACUAAACCACAGGGCAACCUCAGUUGUCACCUGUGGUAGUUCACAGAAUCUGUCAUCCUUUCUGGCACUAGCUGUUAGUUUUCCAACAAUGUAGCAGCUCAAAUUUGCAGCUUUUACUCCCUACUUGCUACAGUUAGUUCUAACUUAUGGUGCCAGCACGAUUACUAAUCACUGAGCAGCCUUAGCUAUCCUCUGGGGACGUUUACUGAGAUAGAAACAAAAAGAAAAGCUGUUCAAGAGUGAAUAUUUCCCUUCCCAGCAUCACAGCUGAAUGCCUCAGCUUCUUCCCUUUUUUUUUCCUCCAACUCAGCUAGCUUUUCCUGAGUUUACUGGUUGCAAGGUGUUUUCAAUCGUGACAAGUGAUCAUAAGUAUUUCAUGUGUUUGCUAAUGAGUAUUUCCAGUAUAUCAGACCAUUUAACUGCACAUUCUGCUGCAUUUUCCUCGGCCCUUCUUCCUGCAAUCAACUGAUCUUAUUUCUCCCUUCAACAUUUAGUUAGGUCCUACUCGUUUCUGCCUUACUUGUUGGAGUUAAGAGACUUUAUGACAUGAUACAUCUUAAUACGUUAGUUUAGAAGCUAAAGUUUGUAGAGGACAGCUAGAGUUUCCUUCGUUUCCCUCUCGGUUACAGCCAAUAAAUUUUCAGCAAGGCAGUAGUUUAUCUUUUGACACUUCCUCACCUUUUCCUUUUCAGUUUUAGGUCUCAAUCACUCAUACAGAGGUCACUUCUUCAGCUACAGGUUAUCCUAAGCUAAACAUGGCAGUUCAUGACCAGAGUUCAGAAGAAAAACUGGAUGAAACUCAGGUCUGCGCAAGGCUGUAAAGUCUGAUGCAUAGCAGCCUGCAUCAGGUUUCUUUCAUACUCAAGGUUCCAAUUCUUACAAGUUUCUACGGUUAACUUGCUUUUAAUACUCAAAGUGAACAUAUUUCAUACAUUCCUAGCUAACGGUUCCAUCCUUCUUUGAUAGCAAUCAGCACAAUCCAUACCUGUCUCUCCGCUAGAGGACAGAGACUUUUUUAGCAAGCUAUCAGUUCUAAACAAGAUUUUCUGCAACAAAACUUAAUUUUUCUUGGCCAGAAUCCAGCACACAACAUGCGUAUGUAAGGGUACUAGGUGAUUAAGAAAUUAUUACAUAAGUUUUUCAUCAUUUUAUAGGCUGAAAUUCGAAUAACAGCCCUCAACUCCCUCCAUUACUAUCCAACAGAUUCAUUUCCUUCAAACAGAGCUUCACCCUGGCUAAGGACGCAUUUUCUUUGCUAAAUUCACAUGCAACUGUAUAAUAAUUCAUUUAUACCGAAUAAGCAGGAGGUUAGUGCAGGUUCUUACCUUUCCACCUACGAUUCUAUGUUGCAGGCUGCUCAAGUUUCUGUCUCGGUUCCUCAGUCCUAAUUCCAGCUUCUCCUGCUUUCCUUGCUGUAUUCUCCCUUGUCUUCGUUUGUGUAAUUUUGGUUAGCUGAUGGUGAAGCUAGCCGAGCUUUCUCUCCCACUCUCUCAGUUUUCUCUCGGUGUUGGUGUGGUAAGGAAAGAAACUGAAGUUUUGUUUUUCCCUCUCAGCCACUGCCCAAGUAUUUAGCCAACAAUUUUCUCGUCUUAUACUCAGUUAUCUCUCAGUAUAGAAGGCUUAAGAAUCAGAAGAAGGAAAUAUCAUUCGGUGGUC